UACGAAGGGUGCAAGCGUUACUCGGAAUUACUGGGCGUAAAGCGUGCGCAGGCGGUUGUGCAAGACAGAUGUGAAAUCCCCGGGCUAAACCUGGGAACUGCAUUUGUGACUGCACGGCUAGAGUGUGUCAGAGGGGGGUAGAAUUCCACGUGUAGCAGUGAAAAUGCGUAGAUAUGUGGAGGAAUACCGAUGGCGAAGGCAGCCCCCUGGGAUUAACACUGAACG
rnacentral:rRNA from 1 species